GAGCCAGUGUGGUGCAGUGGCUUGAAUGCUGGACUACGACUCUGGAGACCAGGGUUCAAUUCUCAGCUUGCCCA